rnacentral:rRNA from 1 species
AGAGUUUGAUCCUGGCUCAGAUUGAACGCUGGCGGCAUGCCUUACACAUGCAAGUCGAACGGCAGCACGGGAGCAAUCCUGGUGGCGAGUGGCGAACGGGUGAGUAAUACAUGAACGUGCCCAGUCGUGGGGGAUAACGUAGCGAAAGCUACGCUAAUACCGCAUACGAUCUGUGGAUGAAAGCGGGGGACCGUAAGGCCUCGCGCGAUUGGAGCGGCCGAUGUCAGAUUAGGUAGUUGGUGGGGUAAAGGCCUACCAAGCCGACGAUCUGUAGCUGGUCUGAGAGGACGACCAGCCACACUGGGACUGAGACACGGCCCAGACUCCUACGGGAGGCAGCAGUGGGGAAUUUUGGACAAUGGGCGCAAGCCUGAUCCAGCAAUGCCGCGUGCAGGAUGAAGGCCUUCGGGUUGUAAACUGCUUUUGUACGGAACGAAACGGCUCUUUCUAAUACAAGGGGCUAAUGACGGUACCGUAAGAAUAAGCACCGGCUAACUACGUGCCAGCAGCCGCGGUAAUACGUAGGGUGCGAGCGUUAAUCGGAAUUACUGGGCGUAAAGCGUGCGCAGGCGGUUAUGUAAGACAGAUGUGAAAUCCCCGGCCUCAACCUGGGACCUGCAUUUGUGACUGCAUAGCUAGAGUACGGUAGAGGGGGAUGGAAUUCCGCGUGUAGCAGUGAAAUGCGUAGAUAUGCGGAGGAACACCGAUGGCGAAGGCAAUCCCCUGGACCUGUACUGACGCUCAUGCACGAAAGCGUGGGGAGCAAACAGGAUUAGAUACCCUGUUAGUCCACGCCCUAAACGAUGUCAACUGGUUGUUGGGUCUUCACUGACUCAGUAACGAAGCUACGCGUGAAGUUGACCGCCUGGGGAGUACGGCCGCAUGGUUGAAACUCAAAGGAAUCGACGGGGACCCGCACAAGCGGUGGAUGAUGUGGUUUAAUUCGAUGCAACGCGAAAAACCUUACCCACCUUUGACAUGUACGGAAUUUGCCAGAGAUGGCUUAGUGCUCGAAAGAGAACCGUAACACAGGUGCUGCAUGGCUGUCGUCAGCUCGUGUCGUGAGAUGUUGGGUUAAGUCCCGCAACGAGCGCAACCCUUGUCAUUAGUUGCUACGAAAGGGCACUCUAAUGAGACUGCCGGUGACAAACCGGAGGAAGGUGGGGAUGACGUCAAGUCCUCAUGGCCCUUAUAGGUGGGGCUACACACGUCAUACAAUGGCUGGUACAGAGGGUUGCCAACCCGCGAGGGGGAGCUAAUCCCAUAAAACCAGUCGUAGUCCGGAUCGCAGUCUGCAACUCGACUGCGUGAAGUCGGAAUCGCUAGUAAUCGCGGAUCAGAGUGUCGCGGUGAAUACGUUCCCGGGUCUUGUACACACCGCCCGUCACACCAUGGGAGCGGGUUCUGCCAGAAGUAGUUAGCCUAACCGCAAGGAGGGCGAUUACCACGGCAGGGUUCGUGACUGGGGUGAAGUCGGAACAAGGUA